CAGCAGCACGCAGUGGAUGUGAAUGAUACAUUCCUCUAUGAAUAAACCGAGUAAGACGUACGUUUUCAAUGCAAUAAUGAAACAAAACAAGUCACAACAUACAGCCAGAGUGAAACGGCUACACGUAACGCCUGGAGAAAGUAGUACCAGAACAGCAGUGUUAGCAAACGUUACAGUCUCAUCACACUGCCUUUCACACCCAACUUGGAUCUCUGCUAUAAAAGAAAAGACCGAUGGACUGGUGAACCCCCCCAUGUGACUGAAGAAAAGACCGAUGGACUGGUGAACCCCCUAUGGCUG